rnacentral:rRNA from 1 species
UACGGAGGGGGCUAGCGUUGUUCGGAAUUACUGGGCGUAAAGCGCACGUAGGCGGCUUUGUAAGUUAGAGGUGAAAGCCCAGGGCUUAACCCUGGAAUUGCCUUUAAGACUGCAUCGCUCGAAUUGUGGAGAGGUGAGUGGAAUUCCGAGUGUAGAGGUGAAAUUCGUAGAUAUUCGGAAGAACACCAGUGGCGAAGGCGGACACACUGGCCCCGUUACUGACGCGUGAGGCGGCGAAAGCG